ensembl:lncRNA
GUGAUUUUCAGUUUGAUGUUCCACUUCAAUCAAAGGAAAAGAACUGAUAAAAUGAAGUUGACACAAAACAAAGCACAAAAGUCUGCGCUGUUGGGCAAAAUGGGCUUUGACCUUCGUCCACAUAUAAAAAAAAAAAAAAAGGAACUCUUAAAAGGGUAGAAAAAGAUACAAAAUGAGGAAGAUCAAUAUCUUGCAGUUGCUGGUUUCUCCCAGGUGGACAGAAUUAUGGCUUUCCUUGACUUUUUGCCUUGCUUGAUCAUCUACCUGUGGUCAGUCGGAGGCAAUGUUCAGGUACAAAGCCCUCAAAUCAUGCAAGAAGGAAAUUACCUGAUGAAAUUACCCGAGGUGGGAAAAUCCAGAGUGAUGUGGAAGACAAAGGACUCCCCUCCCAGCCAAAAGGAAUAAUUCAAUGUAAGAAAUUAAGCAGUCAAUGAAUGCUGCGAAAGAUCAAAAUGAAGCAGCAAGCCUGGAUCUCCCCGUGGCUUGGAUUUACAAGGAAGGAAUUUCAAUUUCCAUUUGAAGACAGAGCUGAGCUUCUCACUUAAAUAAUUUGUAGAAGCUUUUUUAUCAGCUUAGGCUCAGAGCCUGAGUGAGGUAACCACAAUGAAAAGUGCCUGGAGUGCCCUGAGCUGUGCACCACAGGGCUCCCCCCACCUGGAUUCCCACUGAAAUGUGUGCUGGAUGCUUCACAUCAUAGAAUAUCCUCUCUGUUCCCCCUGUUCUCCCCUGUACAGGAUCAAUAAUUUAUCCACUUUUCUUACAUGGGCUGUUUAAUACGUUGGGAGAGGUAAAAUACACACAGUGUGUGUAAGGGAGGGAGAUUUCCUGUAGGAGAUCUUUGCAGAGCUGGAAAACCCAGGAGAAGGGUAAGGCAGAGCACAGGGAUGUGUCUCCCUCAGGUGUGACAUCAACUCCUUUUCAGGCCCACUUUUAAUUUUUUUUUCUGCGUGAGAGGUGCAAAAAAACCACUCCAUAAACAAUUUGCUGAGGCAAAUAUCAGCGAGUCCCUGAUUUUAACCCAUACAAAACAGAAAACAAAUUCUCCACAAAAAAUUUGUGACAAAGUCCUGCAAAAAAUGUGAUCUUGUGUUCAGAGCAAGGGCAACAAGUACACAAAUGCACAAAUUACCUGCUUUUUUGUGUUUUUUAUCUCUGAAUUGAGAGUCCAAACUCUUGAUUCUGUCCCCAAGUGAGAUUUUGGUAGCACUGCCCAAGGCACUGUGUCCAAGCCUCAAUUGUCACCCUGCUGAAGGCUGGAACAGCCCCUUAAAAUUCAGAAAAUUUUAAUCCACGCAUGUACAGUCUCAGACUGAUUUUUACAUGAGCACCUUUAAGUUGGAGAAGAUUAAGUGGAAUUAAACAUGGAUGCCUUUUUAACAGAGCCCUCUCCCAGAAGAGAUCCCUUUUUUCAGCACUCCCUCCAAAGGCUCCUUUAGCAGUGUUGGGUUUGACUGCAGAUGACAAGCUGUACACAGGAACCAGACAUUUUUGUCCCUAGCAUCACUUAUUAACUGUUGUUAUUGUCGCUGACAACGUCGUGGUAAUAACAGGGAUCCUCUCAACAGCUGGCUUGGAGGUGUAGGAAUUUCUGACACUCAGAAGUGUCUCAGCAGAAGUGACAGGGGAAGGCAUGCUCAGAAGCAAUUUAUCCUGGGAAGAGAAUAUAAAAGCAACCCAAGCAGCCUGAGACCUUGGGGGGUUCUUUGCUAACCCUCAGGAUUUGUUGUAGAGGUUGAAAAGCAGCAGUAUUUUCUUUUUUUUAAAAGGUAUCACCUGUAAAUCACUCCCCAGCGCCAGCAUGCUGCAGCUCAUCCAGGAAAAUCACUCACAGGGAAUCGUGGUGCUGCAGUGAACAGGGGGAGGGCAGCUGUGGAUGAGUGGGAAAAAGCAGGAAAAGCAGCUGUUGGCUGAUUCAGCAUGGAGGGAUGUGCUGAGAGGUCGAUUUGCUUCAGAUUUGUGAGUGUGAGGUUCUUCUGAGAGGGGUUUGGCUGCUGAAAAUCUGUCUUGGUUUGAAAAGACAGGAGUUUGUGAAGGAAGGCAAAAGCCUCCUGUGAAAUGGAAAAGGUAAACCCCCUCCCUACAAGCCAGGACAAAAGCUCAGGCCUGGAGAGUGGAUAAUGCCUUCAGCUUCCCAGAUUUUUGUGUCAUGGGGAUCUGAGCCCUUCAGGCAUCGCUUCACCCACACUGCAAAGAGCUGGUCCCUGUGUCCUCAUCCCUGAGCACUUCUCCAAAAUUUGGUCCACCACAGAUCUCCCAACCAGAGCCUGAGGAUCCCUCACCACCUGCAGCUCAGCUUUUGAUGGGGUUCUCAAAGGGAUUUCUGUGAUGACCUGAAAAUUAUGGAUGUAGGCUGAAAUCAUCCUGAAUCCUCUAAACCUACACCCAUAGGACUUCAAACAAAGGAUUUAAAAAUACAAGUUCUUGACAGAAGUCCAGCCCCGUGUGAGUUUCUCACAGAUGGUUGGGAAGGCAGCACAGCCUGAGCAGCUCUGAGUUGUGCCCCUGCCCUGGUGGGUUGGGAGGGACCCCAGCAAGGCUUGGAACGCCAAGAUGUGGCCAAAGGAAUUUUGUGUUGGGUGGUUUGCUGCUCAGCCUUCAGGAGGUGUUUGGACAACUCUCUCAGUCACAUGUUGGGGUUCAUGGGGUGGUGCUGUGCAGAGCCAGGAGCUGGAUUUGGUGAUCCUUGUGUGCCCCUGACAAUCCGGGGAAUCCUGAGCCUAUGAACUGUUGAGAGCUCCCUUGUCAAGGAAAAUAGAGUUGGAUAUUAGGAAAAAGUUUUUCACAGAAAGGUGAUAAAGUUCUGGAAUGUUCUGCCCAGGAGGUGGUGGAGUCACCACCCCUGGGUGUGUUUAACAAAGCCUGGAUGUGGCACUGGGUGCCAGGGUUGAGUUGAGGUGUUGGGGAUGGGUUGGACUUGAUGAUCCUGAAGGUCUCUUCCAACCCAGUGGUUCUGUGAGUCUGUGAAUUUUGUGACUUUUGGGAAUUCUGUGAUUCUGUGAAUUCUGUGAAGGCCAGAUUAUCCAUCACUGGCCUCCAAGGAUGGCACUGCCCCUGCUCCACCAGCUGCAGGAAAUCCUCCCUGCUGUCCAAGGAAAUAAAUCUUUGCACCUUCUCCAGCCGUAAACGAUUGAUUCUGAAUGAUCAAAAUGAAAUGGCUUGGGCAAUGUGUUAUCUGAAGCUGGAAGAGGCAGGGUGCAGCUGUGACAAACCAAGGGCAGGGGGAGCAUUAUCAGCCAGGCUGUGUCUCCCAGGAUUACAGGUAGGAAAUCUAAUAUAUAGAAGGACCCAAGGGUGAGAUUAUCUCGGGAUAAUACACCCUGUAGGUUUUGAAACUGCAGCCAAAGCAAUCAGACCUGUUACCAUAGCGUUUGUUUUAAUGCACAGAUAAAUUUGUAGCUCCUGUUUAUAUAGCUCGUCCUCUGGAGGCACUAAUAUGAUUCCCUUUAAAACUCUGGUUAAUGAGAAAAUAAUGGAGCAUUGUGGAUAUAAGAAACAUUUUUUCCCACUGUCGCCGUCAUCAUCUUUUAUACAGUCAGACUGAUCUUUGAAAGUAUAAGUUGGAUUUAUUUUAUGUACCACAAAACCUUUAAAAAUCUUUCUUUAAACUGAGCUUUCUGAUUCCAGCCUAAAGCCAGAAACACUCACUGUCUAAACAUAUUUAUAAAUCAGUAUAUCACCUGUAAAUCUUACCUUAUCCCUAAUAGGAAAUUUAAAAUUGUAACUCUUGAAGCUUCACCUUGGCAACACAGAUUCUUAUUUUAUUGGCUUUCCUGGACAGAAAGCGCUGAUGAGAUGGAGAAUGUGGCCAGGGAAAAGGGAUUGCAUCUCCCUGGCUGGGUGCAGUGAGCUGUGUAACGAAGCCAUGUGUGUUUACUUUCCUUUGGAUACAGCAUUGCAGCAAAUCUCCAGCCUUUUUCAAGGUGUUUUCAAGUUUCUUUUUACCCCAUAAGCUGUCCUUCAAUCCUUCUGGAGCAGCUGAGGAGCUCCAUGCUCAUGGAACAUCCUCCAGGGCAAGGAGAAGGCGUUGCCAAUGUUGGCAUCAGCAGGUUUGGUAUGAGCUGGUACCAAGCUGGUACCAAGCUCAGUAACUCACUUUGCCUGGGAAGGAUUGGUGGUCUAUACAUAAUUUACAUUAUCUAGCAUGUAUUAUUCAUACCUAUAAACAAACACCUAUGUGGAUUGGGCCUUCAGACAUCUCAAACUUCCUAAGAUUUAAUAACAACAGAAGUAAUGUCAUUUGCUGGGACUGACGUUUUAUCCUUGGCCUCGCUUGAAGAUUGUGGGAGUUUUGAUUUGGGCAGGAAAACUCCGAGGCUGCUGGUGGCUGGGAGGUAAAAUUCAUAUUGUUUGUUACUCCAUAGUUUUUGUCUCUGCUGCCUCUGGAUUUUCUUAAUCUCAUCUGAAUUUGAGCCUGCUCCUGCUCUGCUUUAGCUCAGGAGAAGUGUGGCCAAGCCAAUUCACUUCCCUGCACCUCUGGGUUGCUCCUGUCCUGGGGACACUUUGCUCUGUCUGGAGAGGCAGAAGGAUGAGAGGGAAGAGAGAAGAGAAGAAUGUAUUAAUAAGAACCAUCUUGUGGGUCAUGACCAAGUUAAAUUUCAUCUCCCUGGGCUUCUACAGAGGUGGUGCCUGGUUCAUGAAGAGGAGCUGCAUUUCGCUUCUCCCUGGACAUGCAGGUUGAGGUGGAGAGAUAUCCCAGGAUUCUUGAAGCAUCAUUUCCACACAGCCCAAUGUCAGGGCUCACAAUCCUGCUGUUAAAAUGGAAAUGUAAUUAUUGACUCAGAAAAACGCUGCUCUGGGAGGUCACUAAGGAAGUCAGCCCCAAACGAGGGAAUUGGAGAGGGUUGCAUGUUAGAGCCACUAAGAAAUCUCAUCUCAGUUGUCAGCAGGGGCAGGGGAAGCAGUGCAAGGCUUUGGCUCAGGGUUUUGGCUGAGCACAACAACACAAAGCAACCUGAAGCAGGCUGAACUCAGAUUUCAGGAAUUGAGGAUACAGGCUGAUCCUAUUAAAAGCCAGGAUUUAAUAAAGACCAGGCUUAAUUCUGCUGUUCCUUAGGCUCUGGACAGCUCAGCAGAGUGGGAGAUUCCUCCUCCAGCUCGCCCACCUCUGUGUCACAAACCUCUCCUUCCCAUCCCUGUUCUCCUUCGUGCCGUGAGCUGACACAGUUGGAGUCAGACUCAUCCUGUCCCGCUGGGAUCUGAGCAGGAAAACCAGUCCAGUUUUCCUCCUGACAGAUUUGCUUUAAAUAACUUUAUAUUUCUAAUUGCUCUGGGACAUGAAACAUGUAUGGAAAGAUCUCGAGGGAUUGGAUUAAGUAGCUUUAAUUAUGACUCUGGCCUCUAUGGAGAAGCAUUUCUUGAGGAACAUUAACAAACAUAUUCUUGUUUUUUUAACCCCACUUGCUGUGUGGGAAUUUUCUAUAUCUGAAAAAGAGAAAUUAAUUUAAAUUUAAUGAUGGUGUCUCAUUAAUUCUGCACACCUGCUGUGAUCUACCAUGUACAAAUGGAGGUAUCACAGUGCAGGAAUUAGGGAUCUGAUCAUAUUCCUUGCAAAUAACCCAGGCAGUUGGGAAGGUCAGGGAUUCAGUGAGGUUGGUUUAGGAUGCCCCCCACACCUCUGGGCAGAUGUAAAAUUGUUCUCCACUCUGUGUUUCCAACAUCAGACACCAAACAGCUGCAUUUCUGUUCCUUCCCUGGGGAUUAUUUCAGUUUAGCUGGUUGUGCUGCUGGGAAAAAAAAAUUCUUCAUAUUCAAUUCCAUUUCACCUCUAAUCCCAUUUAUCCUACUUGCAGCCCCCAAAAGGAUCCUUCCCCUCCUUGGGCAGACAGGGAAAGCAUCCUGAAUGAAUCCAUUCUACUCUGAAUUAUUUUCCUGAGCUCUCACCAGCUCUAUUUCACUGCACUUGGGGUUUGAUUUGUUAGAUAGAAAUCCCCAACUGCUGCUGCAGGAUGGACAUUCCACUGAACAGAGAGAAAGGAUUAUGUAGCAAUGAUAUCAACAAUAAUAAUGAUAAAUGAAAAUAAUAAUAUCACAAUCAUCAUCUCAACUUUUUUGUCUUGCCAGGGAAAUAUAUUCAGUUUUAUUCUGAGGUUUACUCAAAUGAAUUUUAGCUGGAGUUGGGGUUGUCAGAGCCUGAGCCCAAGUCCAGUGAAGACUUCCAGCUUAUUUUAAUGCAUAUGAGCAGAUUGGGAUUUGAAACCUCAGGUCUUCAGUUUUCAAGAUCCUGACUGACACAGAUCAAUGGCUUUUAUUCCAGAAACUCAGCUGGGACAGUUAAUGCCCAUUAAGUUGGAGACAGUGGGGUCCAGGCAAGUGCCAAAGUGCUCUUCUGAACUGGAUAUUAUUAAAAAAAAUAAAUCUGUGGCUUGGUCUAAAUGUCUGAAAGCACAGUGUUUUAACUAUUUUUAUGAGACAAGCCAAUGAGAUAAGGAGGGGAGAUAAAUGAAUGCAUAAUUUACACGUUUGUUGAAUGAGUACUCCAAUAUGUCAAGUGGACCUUUAUUUUCUGUGUAAUUUGUUUAAGACCCCCUUCCCCUUCCAGGAAAAUAAAUUCCCCUCCAAUCUGU